GAGUUUGAUCUUGGCUCAGGAUUAACGCUAGCGGCAGGCCUAAUACAUGCAAGUCGAACGGCAGCGGGUGUAGCAAUACAUGCCGGCGAGUGGCGCACGGGUGCGUAACGCGUAUGCAACUUACCUAUAACUGGGGAAUAGCUCUCCGAAAGGAGAAUUAAUACCGCAUAAUAUCACGAGAUGGCAUCGUUUUGUGAUCAAAAACUCCGGUGGUUAUAGAUAGGCAUGCGUGACAUUAGCUAGUUGGUGAGGUAACGGCUCACCAAGGCUACGAUGUCUAGGGGGUCUGAGAGGAUGAUCCCCCACACUGGUACUGAGACACGGGACCAGACUCCUACGGGAGGCAGCAGUAAGGAAUAUUGGACAAUGGCCGCAAGGCUGAUCCAGCCAUGCCGCGUGCCAGGAUGAAGGUGCUCUGCAUUGUAAACUG
rnacentral:rRNA from 1 species